UACGGGGGGGGCAAGCGUUGUUCGGAAUUACUGGGCGUAAAGGGCCAGUAGGCGGCCAACUAAGUCCGACGUGAAAUCCCCAGGCUUAACCUGGGAACUGCGUCGGAUACUGGAUGGCUUGAAUUCGGGAGAGGGAUGCAGAAUUCCAGGUGUAGCGGUGAAAUGCGUAGAUAUCUGGAGGAAUACCGGUGGCGAAGGCGGCAUCCUGGACCGGCAUUGACGCUGAGGAGCGAAAGCCAGGGGAGCAAACGGG
rnacentral:rRNA from 1 species